CGAGUGUUCAAAGCACUGGCAGGGACACUGUGCAAUUUGGUCAGCACCUCCUCUGAUCCAGACGCUGCUCCCCAGGGUCCCAGACAUGAGGAUAGGCUCUGAGAGAAGAUAAAAAGCCUCAGUCAGUCAACCUCUGCUGGGGACUUGCCAGUGAUACCAGUGUUCCUGCUGCAAUCUACACACAGGACGAAAUGAACUCUUCUUGCCCCAUGACCACACGCUCAGAGCUGGAACACUGGCUCAGAGCACUGCAGAGGCUUAGGCAUUCAGAAACAGGCCUGGCUCUGCCCCAGCUACAGGACGGUGAUGUCACAGGAUGCCCAAUGCCACUCGAGGUCACCUGAGGGCAGAUGUCCCUCUCUCUAAGAUUCCAGUGUGUUUUUAUUCAUGAUUAACAAGCUGGAAAAGCCAAGAACUUGUUGGAAGGGAAAAGUGUGCAAAAGCCAUCUCUCACCGCUGCUUAUGAAAAAUAACGGAUGACCACUCAAGGGGCCUAUUCCUAACGAUGUCACCUUUCCCUUACCCAGAGACACCACGCCUGGGAGCUGCGCUCCGAGCCAGAGACGGGUGUAGACACGGAGGUGCACACAGUCAGUCUGCAGGGCCCCGGGACUCACCCGUUCCAUCAGCCACCGUGCGUUUGGACCCUCUCUGCCCAGCCUAAGGCAUGUUCCCUGCCUCUCUGGAGCUCAGGUUCAUCAUCCUACUGCCCAUCCACAGCUCAUAAUCUGCUUUUGCAACACCUUGCAAGCUAUUGCACCUUCUUUGUAGAAAGUGAGAAUUUAAGAGGAAAAGUAACCAGGCAUUCCAUAAACUGAGGCCAACUGACACCCCCGUGGGAUCCUUACUAGACAUGGGACAGCAGUGAGCGUCCUGAGAGACUCGCCAUGGGGGCAUCUUUCAGGUAAUUGGAGCAAAUUUGAAUUAGAUUGAAAAAGGAAAACCUCAUUUUCUAUUGCAACAAUGUUUGGGUUCAGUAAACUGGUGAGCAGACAGACCUGGCCUCAGCAUGGUUCCUUCCUCACACCAUAGUGAUAUUUAUCAUUAGACUGUUCUGUAAAAGGGAGGAAAACAGGAAGAAGCUUCUGUGGCCCUCAG
rnacentral:lncRNA from 1 species